rnacentral:rRNA from 1 species
GAAGGUGAGAGGAAGGGCUUCGGUGCUCGGGGAGGGGCCUGCGGCCCAUCAGCUAGUUGGAGAGGUAACGGCUCCCCAAUGCAAUGACGGGUAGGGGGUGUGAGAGCAUGGGCCCCCACAGUGGGACUGAGACACAGCCCAUACUCCUACUGGACGCAGCAGCAGGGAAUAUUGCGCAAUGGACGGAAGUCUGACGCAGCGACGCCGCGUGGAUGACGAAUGCCUUCGGGUUGUAAAAUCCUUUGCCGGGCGAUGAGGAAGGACACUAGCCUGGGAAUAAGCGUCGGUUAACUACGUGCCAGCAGCCGCGGUAAGACGUAGGACGCGAGCGUUAUCCGGAUUUACUGGGCGGUAAAGCGCCUGCAGGCGGUCAGGUAAGUCGGUUGUGAAAGCCCCGUGCUCAACGCGGGGAGGCCAAGCAGAUACUGCGUGACUUGAGGGCGGAAGAGGGGAGUGGAAUUCCCGGUGUAGCGGUAAAAUGCGCAGAUAUCGGGAGGAACACCAGUGGCGAAGGCGGUUCCCUGGACCGCACCUGACGCUCAGAGGCGAAAGCUAGGGGAGCGAACAGGAUUAGAGACCCUGGUAGUCCUAGCCCUAAACGCUGGAUGCUAGGUGUAGGGCUGAUGAGGCUCUGUGCCGGAGCGAACGCGAUAAGCAUCCCGCCUGGGAACUACGGCCGCAAGGCUGUAACUCAAGCGAAUUGACGGGGACCCGCACAAGCAGCGGAGCGUGUGGUUUAAUUCGAUGCUACACGAAGAACCUUACCUGGGUUUGACAUGAUUGGUGGUACCGAACCGAAAGGGGAGGGACCCUUCGGGGAGCCAACACAGGUGCUGCAUGGCUGUCGUCAGCUCGUGCCGUGAGGUGUCGGGUUAAGUCCCGUAACGAGCGCAACCCUUGCUCUUAGUUAUACGUGUCUAAGGGGACUGCCGGCGACAAGCCGGAGGAAGGUGGGGAUGACGUCAAGUCAGCAUGGCCUUGAUAUCCAGGGCUACACACACGCUACAAUGGCCGGUACAAAGGGCAGCCAAGCCGCGAGGUGGAGCGAAUCCCAGCAAAGCCGGUCCCAGUUCGGAUUGCAGGCUGCAACCCGCCUGCA